rnacentral:rRNA from 1 species
AAACUGAAGAGUUUGAUCAUGGCUCAGAUUGAACGCUGGCGGUAUGCUUAACACAUGCAAGUCGAACGGUAACAGGCCUUCGGGCGCU